rnacentral:rRNA from 1 species
UACACUCCUGCGGGAGGCAGCAGUGGGGAAUUUUGGACAAUGGGGGCAACCCUGAUCCAGCAAUGCCGCGUGAGUGAAGAAGGCCUUCGGGUUGUAAAGCUCUUUUGUCAGGGAAGAAACGGUGGUGGCGAAUAACUACUACUAAUGACGGUACCUGAAGAAUAAGCACCGGCUAACUACGUGCCAGCAGCCGCGGUAAUACGUAGGGUGCAAGCGUUAAUCGGAAUUACUGGGCGUAAAGCGUGCGCAGGCGGUUGUGUAAGUCAGAUGUGAAAUCCCCGGGCUCAACCUGGGAAUUGCAUUUGAGACUGCACGGCUAGAGUGUGUCAGAGGGGGGUAGAAUUCCACGUGUAGCAGUGAAAUGCGUAGAUAUGUGGAGGAAUACCGAUGGCGAAGGCAGCCCCCUGGGAUAACACUGACGCUCAUGCACGAAAGCGUGGGGAGCAAACAGGAUUAGAAACCCUGGUAGUCCC